CGACUGCUCUUAAGUCGCUGUUUUCCCUAAACAAAUCCAGUCGACUAUCGAACGUCAUGUCUGUAUAAGAGUCGGUACCCGGCGCCUCCACCAAAAACCGGCCUGUGCAGACCGGCUUUUGAUGGGGGCGAAAUAGGAUCGACAAGGGCGUAAAGAUCGACUUUUUGCUCGGCAUUGUACCACCGUUAUCGGGCUAAACUUAUAGUUGCAAACGACAACUAUGCUGAAGCACGUCUCGCUGCCUAACGGCGGUGCGACACUUCAAAUCAAGUCCUUCCGGGUAGCACCGUAAGGCGGGGUCCGAAGGCACCUGGCAACAGAAGCCUUCACC
rnacentral:tmRNA from 1 species